GACGAACGCUGGCGGCGUGCUAACACAUGCAAGUCGUACGGUAAGGCCCUUUCGGGGGUACCCGAGUGGCGAACGGGUGAGUAACACGUGAGUAACCUGCCCACAACUUUGGGAUAACGCUAGGAAACUGGUGCUAAUACUGGAUAUGUGCUCCUGCUGCAUGGUGGGGGUUGGAAAGCUCCGGCGGUUGUGGAUUGACUCGCGGCCUAUCAGCUUGUUGGUGGGGUAGUGGCCUACCAAGGCGGCGACGGGUAGCCGGCCUGAGAGGGUGACCGGCCACAUUGGGACUGAGAUACGGCCCAGACUCCUACGGGAGGCAGCGGUGGGGAAUAUUGCACAAUGGGCGCAAGCCUGAUGCAGCAACGCCGCGUGCGGGAUGACGGCCUUCGGGUUGUAAACCGCUUUCAGCAGGGACGAAGCUUUUUGUGACGGUACCUGCAGAAGAAGCACCGGCUAACUACGUG
rnacentral:rRNA from 1 species